rnacentral:rRNA from 1 species
UACGUAGGUCCCGAGCGUUGUCCGGAUUUAUUGGGCGUAAAGCGAGCGCAGGUGGUUCAUUAAGUCUGGUGUAAAAGGCAGUGGCUCAACCAUUGUAUGCAUUGGAAACUGGUAGACUUGAGUGCAGGAGAGGAGAGUGGAAUUCCAUGUGUAGCGGUGAAAUGCGUAGAUAUAUGGAGGAACACCGGUGGCGAAAGCGGCUCUCUGGCCUGUAACUGACGUUGAGGCUCGAAAGCGUGGGGAGCAAACAGG